rnacentral:rRNA from 1 species
AUGCAUCAGGUGCUAGCCACUGCUUCACCAUCACCACAGCUAUAUAACCCACGGCACCACGGAACCGCCUUUAUAAAGACAGGCUCUGCGCUUGGCGUUCUUCUUCGAUCCAGUUCAAACCGAGCGACACCGAUCAACUUGGGCAUGGCUGGAGGAGCUGCGAUGGGGCCGGGAGGGCUGUGGAGGAGGUACGCGCCGCACAACAUGAUGAUCAUGGUGCAGCUGUGCUACACCUUGAUGUACUUCGUCACCGAGGCCGCCUUCAACCGGGGGCUCAACCCCUACGUCUACGUCACCUACCGCCACCUCCUCGUCGCCGUCCUCCUCUGGCCCUUCGCCUACUACCACGAGAAGAAGUUGAGGCCCAAGAUGACAUGGAUGCUGUUCCUGGAGAUCUUCGUGCUCUCACUUCUAGGGGUGAGCUUGACCCUGAACAUGUACUUCGCGAGCCUCAAGUACACGUCCCCGACCUUCGUCACCUCCAUGGUCAACACCGUGGCCUCCAUCACCUUCGUCAUCGCCAUCGCGCUCCGGAUGGAGAUCGUGGACCUGCGGAGCGCGCGGGGCCUCGCCAAGGUGGCCGGCACGGCGGUGUCCUUCGCGGGGGUCACCACCAUGACGCUGUACAGGGGGGCGGCGAUCGCGAGUCCCUGGAGGGCGCCGGUGCACAUCCCCCGCGGCGGCGACGCCCCGCACGACGCCUGGCUCAAGGGGUCCCUCCUCGCCGUGGCCAGCUGCGUUUGCUGGUCCGUCUGGUACAUCAUGCAGGCGACGUCCGUGAAGCGGUACCCGGCGGAGCUGUCGCUGACGGCGUGGAUGGCCACCGUGGGCGGGGUCCAGUCGGCGGCCUUCACCCUGCUGCUGCAGCACGAGAGGCAGGACUGGCUCAUCGGCUUCGGCCUCAAGUUCUGGUGCAUCAUCUACUCCGUACGCGCCUGCCCUUGUCUUCUCCCCCGUCCUCCAUGCACGUCACCACCAUGUGGCCAGCCAGUGCUCAUGAACUGCAUGCGUGCACGAACGUUGUGUUUCAGGGGCUCGCGUGCAGCGGGUUCACGGUGUUCGCGCAGCUGUGGUGCACGGAGAAGAAGGGGCCGGUGUUCGUCACCAUGUUCAACCCGGUGUCCACCAUCAUGGUGGCCAUCCUCGCCUACUUCAUCUUCGGCGAGAACCUAUACGUCGGAAGGUAUGUACUCCUACGUAGUAGUACAUGCGUGUGGUGCAUGCCCGCUGUUGCUCAACUAA